GUGCCAUGAUGUUAAACUGUCAACACAUCAUUCUGAAGAAUUGUGUGGAGACUUUUGUGAACUGAGCCCA